GUCCGGAUUAUUGGGCGUAAAGCGAGCGCAGGUGGUUAAUAAGUCUGAUGUAAAAGGCAGUGGCUCAACCAUUGUGUGCAUUGGAAACUGUUAGACUUGAGUGCAGUAGAGGAGAGUGGAAUUCCAUGUGUAGCGGUGAAAUGCGUAGAUAUAUGGAGGAACACCGGUGGCGAAAGCGGCUCUCUGGACUGUCACUGACACUGAGGCUCGAAAGCGUGGGUAGCAAACAGGAUUAGAUACCCUGGUAGUCCACGCCGUAAACGAUGAGUGCUAGUUGUUUGGGGCUAUCCAGCCCUAAGUGACGCAGCAAACGCAUUAAGCACUCCGCCUGGGGAGUACGACCGCAAGGUUGAAACUCAAAGGAAUUGACGGGGGCCCGCACAAGCGGUGGAGCAUGUGGUUUAAUUCGAAGCAACGCGAAGAACCUUACCAGGUCUUGACAUACUCGUGCUAUUCCUAGAGAUAGGAAGUUCCUUCGGGACACGGGAUACAGGUGGUGCAUGGUUGUCGUCAGCUCGUGUCGUGAGAUGUUGGGUUAAGUCCCGCAACGAGCGCAACCCCUAUUGUUAGUUGCCAUCAUUAAGUUGGGCACUCUAGCGAGACUGCCGGUAAUAAACCGGAGGAAGGUGGGGAUGACGUCAAAUCAUCAUGCCCCUUAUGACCUGGGCUACACACGUGCUACAAUGGUUGGUACAACGAGUCGCAAGGCAGUGAUGUCAAGCUAAUCUCUUAAAGCCAAUCUCAGUUCGGAUUGUAGGCUGCAACUCGCCUACAUGAAGUCGGAAUCGCUAGUAAUCGCGGAUCAGCACGCCGCGGUGAAUACGUUCCCGGGCCUUGUACACACCGCCCGUCACACCACGAGAGUUUGUAAUACCCAAAGCCGGUGAGCUAACCUUUUAGGAGGCAGCCGUCUAAGGUAGGAUAGAUGAUUGGGGGAAGUCGAACACUA
rnacentral:rRNA from 1 species